UAGGGAAUAUUGGUCAAUGGAUGGAAGUCUGAACCAGCCAUGCCGCGUGCAGGAAGAAGGCCUUCUGGGUUGUAAACUGCUUUUGCCAGGGGCUAAAAGGCCCAUGCGUGGGAAAUUGAAAGUACCUGGUGAAUAAGCCACGGCUAACUACGUGCCAGCAGCCGCGGUAAUACGUAGGUGGCAAGCGUUGUCCGGAUUUAUUGGGUUUAAAGGGUGCGUAGGCGGCUUAUUAAGUCAGUGGUGAAAUAUCGCAGCUUAACUGUGAGGGUGCCAUUGAUACUGAUGAGCUUGAGUACAGAUGAGGUAGGCGGAAUUGACGGUGUAGCGGUGAAAUGCAUAGAUAUCGUCAAGAACACCUAUAGCGAAGGCAGCUUACUAAGCUGUAACUGACGCUGAGGCACGAAAGUGUGGGGAUACAAACAGGAUUAGAUACCCUGGUACGUCCACACU
rnacentral:rRNA from 1 species